AUUUCUAGAAUGCAGGGCCUCUUACACGGCUGCACUAACUCAGGAUUUACUAAUUUCCUUCUCCAUAACAUUAUCUUAUUUAAACAAAAUAAAUGAUCACAUUACAUUACUACCCCCACUCAUAUACUCUCUAGCAACUUACGUACAUACAUAAUGAGAGCAACGUUCCCAGUGCCUUAAAGCCUGCUAUAAAGGCUGCUAUAACCCAUGUGUAUAAAUCUGCUAUAACCCAUGUGUAUAAAUCUGCUAUAACCCAUGUGUAUAAAUCUGCUAUAACCCAUGUGUAUAAAUCUGCUAUAACCCAUGUGUAUAAAUCUGGUGAUAAACAGGUUAGUAGUUAGUCACCUAUCAACAUCCUAUCAGUCAUCUCAAAGGUCAUUGAAACUGUAAACACCUUCCCAGGUGAACCUGGUUCUCCAGGAGGAAUGUGUACAUGGAGUCAUAACCAGGGAUGUUGCUGGUGGUGAAGAAACUGAUAUUUUUCAGGUGGACCUGCUUAUAUCUUGGCCUGGUAGAAAAACCACAUGUUCCCCAAUGUCAACAAUGUGCCCAAACAGCAAACCCCAACCACUUAACAUUAGGAAAAAGGACUUGCCAUGCAAAUAUUGACAUACUGUACAUUUCAAGUAUGUUGCAUAGAAGAUGCUGCUCUAUGAUGCUGACUUGGUUCUAUCCUGAGGAAC